GUUGCAAUACCCAUCACUAACAAGUUCCUUCAACCAGCUCUCACAUUGAUUCACACACACACACACAAGGUGAAUUCUCAAAAAUGGGCACAUGAUCUCAAUCAUUUGGCUAGGUAAGCAAUGGUCUAAUAUGAAUGAAGAGAGGGAUUCAAAUGUUUUCAUUUAAAGGUGGUCAUCACUCAAAACAAGGAGCUUGCUCAUUAUGUAAAAUUUAUCUAAGACUAGAAGCAACUCAUGCAUACAUAGAUUCAUUCUCAUCGUUCUACCCCUUUUAUAAGUGACAACAAGUUCUACCCUUUUAUCAUCAUCUCAAAACCAAAAUAAACCCCUCACAUCACUCACCCAAUGAACAACUCUCUUUUUCUUUGGACUCAACCAAAUAGGGACUUUAAU
rnacentral:lncRNA from 1 species